UCUCCGUUGGUGAACCAGCGGAGGGAUCAUUACUGAGUUACCGCUCUACAACCCUUUGUGAACAUACCUAACUGUUGCUUCGGCGGGCAGAGGUCCCUCGCGGAUCUCUCCCGGCAACGCCCUCACGGGCGGAGCGCCCGCCGGAGGAUACCAAACUCUAUUUUAACGACGUUUCUUCUGAGUGGCACAAGCAAAUAACUAAAACUUUUAACAACGGAUCUCUUGGUUCUG
rnacentral:misc_RNA from 1 species